CAGUAACGGCGAGUGAAGCGGCAACAGCUCAAAUUUGAAAUCUGGCCCCGUCGGGGUCCGAGUUGUAAUUUGUAGAGAGUGUUUCGGGUGAGACCACGGUCUAAGUCUAUUGGAACAUGGCGUCAUAGAGGGUGAGAAUCCCGUAUGUGACCGUGGCUCGAACCCAUGUGAAGCCUCUUCGACGAGUCGAGUUGUUUGGGAAUGCAGCUCAAAAUGGGUGGUAAAUUUCAUCUAAAGCUAAAUACUGGCUGGAGACCGAUAGCGCACAAGUAGAGUGAUCGAAAGAUGAAAAGCACUUUGGAAAGAGAGUCAAAAAGUACGUGAAAUUGUUGAAAGGGAAGCGCUUGCAACCAGACCUGUCCGUAGGUGAUCAGCCGCUGUUCUCAGUGGUGCACUCGCUCUGCGAUCAGGCCAGCAUCGGUUCCGGCGGUCGGAUAAAGGCCUUGGGAAUGUAGCUCCCUUCGGGGAGUCUUAUAGCCCUCGGUGCAAUGCGGCCAGCCGGGACCGAGGACCGCGCUUCGGCUAGGAUGCUGGCGUAAUGGUUGUAAGCGACCCGUCUUGAAACACGGACCAAGGAGUCUAACAUCUAUGCGAGUGUUUGGGUGUUAAACCCAUGCGCGGAAUGAAAGUGAACGGAGGUGAGAACCCUUUAGGGCGCAUCAUCGACCGAUCCAGAUGUCUUCGGAUGGAUUUGAGUAUGAGCAUAGCUGUUGGGACCCGAAAGAUGGUGAACUAUGCCUGAAUAGGGUGAAGCCAGAGGAAACUCUGGUGGAGGCUCGCAGCGGUUCUGACGUGCAAAUCGAUCGUCAAAUUUGGGUAUAGGGGCGAA
rnacentral:rRNA from 1 species